CACCAUUGUAGUUUUGAUUUUGAAGCUUUGCAACCUGCUGCAGCGAGGAAACACAGGAGGUCUUCAGAGUCACGCUCUGCAGUGAGCAAAUCAGGAGCACAGAGAAGUAGGUCAUCAACAUAUUGAAGUAGAACAACAUCCAGAUGAGAUUUCUGCCAGGGAUCAAGAACAAGAGACAUGGCAUGAGCAAACUGUGUGGGAGAAUUCUGAGCACCC